rnacentral:rRNA from 1 species
AGGACGAACGCUGGCGGCGUGCUUAACACAUGCAAGUCGAGCGGAAAGGCCCUUCGGGGUACUCGAGCGGCGAACGGGUGAGUAACACGUGAGCAACCUGCCCCUGGCUCUGGGAUAGCCUCCGGAAACGGGGAUUAAUACCGGACAUUCACUUCCUUCCGCAUGGUUGGGGGUGGAAAGUUUUUUCGGCCGGGGAGGGGCUCGCGGCCUAUCAGCUUGUUGGCGGGGUAACGGCCCACCAAGGCGACGACGGGUAGCCGGCCUGAGAGGGGCGACCGGCCACGACUGGGACUGAGACACGGCCCAGACUCCUACGGGAGGCAGCAGUGGGGAAUAUUGCGCAAUGGGCGGAAGCCUGACGCAGCGACGCCGCGUGGGGGAUGAAGGCCUUCGGGUUGUAAACCCCUUUCAGCAGGGACGAAGCGAAAGUGACGGUACCUGCAGAAGAAGCGCCGGCUAACUACGUGCCAGCAGCCGC